UAUUGUAUUAUUUUAUAAAGAGGCGUAAAAAGGCAUUAAUAACAACAACAAAAGUGACAUAAAAAAUCUAAUCACACCAUCCGAAAUAUAAACAACAAAGAUGUCAGCUCUCUCUACUCGUCUUCGAGCAACGCAAGGGAAAUGGCGUUUUUUACCGAUUUCUACGAAUUAUCGCCGGUAUUCAGUAGACCAAAGUAAAGGAAAACCAGUGAGAAUCGGGUGCGCCAGCGGAUUCUGGGGUGACACUCCUACGGCAGCUCCUCAACUGAUUCACAAUGGCAAUUUGGACUUCCUCAUGUUCGACUACCUCUCAGAAAUCACCAUGUCCCUCCUUACGGCUGCAAGAGCCAAGAAGCCAGAGCUGGGGUUUGCACCUGACUUUGUGCUCUAUGCCAUUGGACCAUACUUGAAUGACAUCAAACGGAAAGGUAUCAGAGUCCUGAGCAAUGCUGGUGGAAUUAACCCAGAGGGCUGUGCUGAGGCACUGAGGCAGGCUGCUAGCAAGGCUGGUGUUGAUCUGAAGGUUGCUGUUGUUACGGGUGAUGAUCUAAUGCCAGUAAAGAAACAAUUGAUAGCUGCCGGAAUGCCCGAUAUGAAAAGCGGUCUUCCUCUACCAAAAACUGUUCACAGCAUGAAUGCAUAUUUAGGAGCUGGUCCAAUAGCUAAAGCCUUAGAUGGAGGUGCAGAUAUUGUUGUUACAGGCAGGUGCGCUGACAGCUCUUUGGCUCUUGCACCUCUCAUGCAUAGUUUUGGGUGGCAGUCAAAUGAUUAUGACCAGCUUGCAAGUGGCAGCCUGGCAGGUCACUUGAUUGAGUGUGGUGCACAGGCAACUGGUGGUGUUUAUACUGACUGGGAGGCUGUUCCUGACUGGCAUAAUAUAGGCUUUCCAAUAGCAGAAGUGUCAGGCAAUGGAGAUUUCAUGAUCACAAAGCCCCCUCACACGGGAGGUAUUGUCAAUCAGAUGACUGUUGCUGAGCAGAUGCUCUACGAGAUUGGGGACCCACGGGCCUAUAUUCUUCCGGAUGUUGUCUGUGACUUUACUGGGGUCCAGCUAGAGGAGACCAACUGUGGGGUCAUUGUGAAAGGGGCUAAGGGGAAGAAGCCCACUGACUCGUAUAAGGUUAGUGCAACAUAUCUUGAUGGCUACAAGGCUACUGCUGUCAGCUGUAUUGGAGGACCUAGAAGCCGUGACAAGGGCAGGAAAACCGCUGAGGCGAUUGUGCAGAGGUGCCGCAACAUAUUCCAAAUGCUCAAGCUCCCUGACUUCACCCGAGUCCACAUCCAGAUAUUGGGUGCAGAGGAUACCUAUGGGCCCCAUGCAAGUGUUGGAGAAGGUCCUCGUGAGGGUGUCAUCUGGAUCUCUGUCCAUCACGAACAAAAGAAGGCUGUCGAGCUGUUUGCCCGUGAAAUAGCAGCAGCUGGAACUGGUAUGGCCCCUGGACUCACAAAUAUUGUUGGAGGUCGGCCUAGGGCGUCUCCUCUCCUGCGUCUGCAUUCCUUCCUCAUACCAAAAGAUCAGUGCAAGGUGAGUAUCCAUGCUGAUGGGAAAGAGGAAAUGUACAGUGAGACUGCAGAUACAGUUCCCGCUUCCGCCUAUGACUUUCCGGAUCAGCCAGUAUCUGAAGCCUCAGAUUUGACUAAGGGAUCAAAAUGCUAUCGACUGGAGUCCCUGGCUCUGACUCGCAGCGGUGACAAGGCAGACUCCUGCAAUAUUGGUGUCAUUGCAAGGCAUCCUUCUCUAUAUCCAUACCUGAAGGAGGCUCUUACAUCGGAAGCUGUUGCAGAAUACUUUAGACAUGUUUUCCCAGACAAUGUCAACCCCUUGGACUGUGUAAAAAGGUAUGAGGUGGACGGCAUAUGUGGCCUCAAUUUUGUCCUCGAGCAGUCACUUGGUGGAGGAGGAGUGGCGUCACUACGCUCUGAUCCUCAGGGAAAAGCUUAUGGCCAGAUGCUCCUUGACUUCAUCAUAAAGGAUAUGCCAGAUAUCUGCUCUAUCAGCCACUAGUAUGAGAGUCAAACUGUUGUGAAACAAGGAGAGAAAUGUUAAAUUUAGAUUAACAGAGAUUGUUUUCCUUGCUAGCAGGGAGCUCUCUCUUUCUCUUAGCUUUCUUUGUUAAUGCAGAAUUUUUCCUCUCUUGUCAGGAUAUUUGUACACCUUGAACUGACUGCCAUAUCCAUCUUAUACUGUAAUUGAGAUGUGGAAGUAAAUAUUUUUGAUAUAGAGAAAAAAAAGGAUAGGUAUAAUUAUUAAAAAAAAAAAAAAUGGAUGUAAAAUAAGAAUAAUUGUCGAUUGUAGUGGAGUCAUGAUUGUCCAUAUGUUAGGUAUUGUGUAUUGAAAUUGUAUAUUAUUUAAAAGUACAAGGUCUUCAGUAAUGACUUUUAUAACCUUUUUUUGAUAGCUACUAAAAUCUGGACUCUUCCAAGUCAGCAGAAUAUAAUGUAAACAAAAGGAAAAGAUGACUGAAGAUGCAGUUCAUUAAAGACCAAGAAAUAGUAAAGAAGAAAACAGUAUAUGUAAAAUAUUUUGAGUUCUUUACCUAUAAUAUUUCUUUUAAAAGUGAAAAUGCACACAAUGAUAUGUAACAAGUAUGUAGUGGACCAGAGUUGGAUUAUACUUGUGACUUCAGUGUGAUGCAUGCACAAAUCUUGUCUUUCAUAUAAUACAGCAGAGUCAGACAAAACCAUUAUAUUUAUGUAAAGUUUGGUAAAUAAAUGUAUAUUUUGUA
rnacentral:misc_RNA from 1 species